ACGUAGGGGGCAAGCGUUAUCCGGAUUUACUGGGUGUAAAGGGAGCGUAGACGGCAUGGCAAGCCAGAUGUGAAAGCCUGGGGCUCAACCCCGGGACUGCAUUUGGAACUGUCAGGCUAGAGUGUCGGAGAGGAAAGCGGAAUUCCUAGUGUAGCGGUGAAAUGCGUAGAUAUUAGGAGGAACACCAGUGGCGAAGGCGGCUUUCUGGACGAUGACUGACGUUGAGGCUCGAAAGCGUGGGGAGCAAACAG
rnacentral:rRNA from 1 species